AUUGAACGCUGGCGGCAGGCCUAACACAUGCAAGUCGAGCGGAUGAAUGGAGCUUUCUCCUGGAUUCAGCGGCGGACGGGUGAGUAAUGCCUAGGAAUCUGCCUGGUAUUGGGGGAUAACGUCCGGAAACGGGCGCUAAUACCGCAUACGUCCUGAUGGUGAAAGGGGGGGAUCUUCGGACCUCACGCUAUCUGAUGAGCCUAGGUCGGAUUAGCUAGUUGGUGGGGUAAAGGCCUACCAAGGCGACGAUCCGUAACUGGUCUGAGAGGAUGAUCAGUCACACUGGAACUGAGACACGGUCCAGACUCCUACGGGAGGCAGCAGUAGGGAAUAUUGGACAAUGGGCGAAAGCCUGAUCCAGCCACGCCGCGUGUGUGAAGAAGGUCUUCGGAUUGUAAAGCACUUUAAGUUGGGAGGAAGGGCAGUAAGUUAAUACCUUGCUGUUUUGACGUUACCAACAGAAUAAGCACCGGCUAACUUCGUG
rnacentral:rRNA from 1 species